GCACAGCGUUGACUCAUCCCUGCCUGCCAGGAGGCUGCAGGAGGCUCCCCUGCCCUUUGUCUUCCCUGCCUUUUGCUCCUGCUGCUCAAAUCCAACCGGGGCUGAGUGGGAUCUCACAGCAGCACACGCAGGGGGACAUUCCUGCUGUAAUUCCUGCUGAAUACAGCGGCGCAGGUGCUCCUCGGAAGCAGCCGGAUCAACAUAUGGAGGAGAGGACAACCUCUAAAGUACAAAAGAAAAUGAGCGAGACGUCAGAAGCAUCAGCUGUGAGAAGAAGCUGGUGGGGUGAUGGUGGAGGGCAGGGAAGCGGGGAGAGAGGAGAAACAUUUGGAAAAUGAACGGCUGGAAUAAUUAAUUCCACAGAAAACCCAAGGAAACACCACCCAUGUAAUGCAAAAAACAGCAUCUCUGUUUCUCUAUAAAAAUAUGUGCAUUAUGAAGAGA